GCCAGGCUCCCUCCCACUCAGCCUCUGACGUUGGGCUUCCACAUGGGCUCCGCGUCCAGACUGGAGUCGCCAGGAGCGUGAGGAGCGUGUGCGGUCUGGCCGUUAUUGCGUCUCCGCGGCCUGGCGCAGUGCUGGAACGCGAACUGACCGAGCUGCCCUGUGUCAGCAGGUGUGGCCACGGAGGAUGAUGAGGUCACCGGGAAGCCUCCCAUGGUGUGGGGCAGAAAACGUGGACUUGUUAUCCCUGAAGCCAGACGAAACGAGAAGCUCCUCUCUCUCCGUGGGCGACGCCACAGAUGGGAUGCGAAUCUCCGUCCCGGGCCGUCCUCACCGGGCUGCGCAGAGGAGGGGAAGCCGGAGCGCGGGUUACGCUGGAGAACACUCGGAGCUCUCGGCGCCGCCCGUGGGACACAGUCGUCGCCUGGUUCCCGGCAGACGAGGGAACCUCGCUCCGGCUCCUCCACUUGGGCGCCUCGGCGCGACUUACACAAGCGCGUGUGACGGUAUCUGCUGGUUUUCAAGGGCUCGAGUGAAACUGGGGGACGUGGACGGGAGUCCGUGGCGGUGGUGUUGAAGCCCUGCCUGCCUAAAACACGGCGGCUGCUCGCGUCCUCUCUGAGCCCUCACGCGAUGCUCUCUCCCCGCAGAGAGACCAGACGGCGUGUGCUUACAGUCCUUUGGUUUCUGAGACGAACACAAAAUACCCUUUCUCGGGGGAGAACUGAGGAGAGUAGAAAAAGCAAAGUAAAAGUGACAUGAAAUUUCACCAUUCAGAAGUAACGGCGGUUAACAUUGUGCUAAAUUUCUUUUUAAUCUGUUUUUUACACACACACACACAUAUAUUUUACAAUGUGUCCUUUAUAAAGGUAGCAUCGGGAAUUUUAUACUGUAUGUUCGUGUUCGUCAAUAUUUCACAAAUACUUUCCCAGAUCAUUAAAAGUUCCUGGUAAACAUCACGUUGAUGGCUGGCUAAUUCUCUGUCCUGUGGAUGUGACUUAUUCUACCAUUCCCCUACUACAGAAAAUGUCUUAAAGUGAGCAAACUUCCAUUCUGGUGGGGGGAGAAAAAUGGAAUCGCCCGUCUGGAAUGGUUAUUUGUGAUUUCCGGGAAUUAGGUAAAAAAAAUAUAUAUAUAUAUAUAAGACAUAGUUUGUGAACACAAGUACCUGCUUCCUGGCAGAUUCCAAAUACCGACCCGACGGGGACCAGGAGGAAGGGCAGUGCCGGGCCCCUCGCCUCGGGAGGCUCGGCGGGUCCCCAGCUGACUUUGGGACGGCCUUGCCGUGUGACGGUGACAAGUCCCUCUCCCCCGCCCCUCGGGAGGAGGGAAUCGAGCGGCUGUCCUGCAGUGUUUGUGAGUCACGGAAAGCUCCGGAGCCUGACUGGGAGAGGCCAUUCCUGGAGUCUGCACGACAUUUUAGGGGUUCCCCUCGACCCCUUAUAAUGUCUCCGUGGGACCCCUGGCCCCCCGGGUUUAAUUAACCGGGGUCCCCUGCGACCUAGCUCCAAAAUCAUCCCCGCAUCCCUUCAGCAGCCCGCAACUCCGAGAAGGCCGUAAAACACUUCUCUUCCUUUUGUUUGUUUGGAGCACUGACUGAUGACGUUUAACAGGGAAAACUUUUGUUUUUGCAGAAGUUGAGAGACUAUAAAAUCCUUCCUGAAACCUAAGACUUUGAGCCUAUCACAAAUGAGUCGAGCGCUACAAAAAAAAAAAAAAGCGAGACUUUUACAUAAUUUUACGUGCCGAACACAUCUGCCACGAGUGUACAUUUAGCGCGCUUGCAAGGAGAGUCACAAAAUGAGUGUCGCUUUUAGUCGGUCGAGAACUAAAAUAGUCGCACAUGUUGAUUCCGUGUGGUUUUACGUAUUAGAAGCUAUUCGAUGAAAUUGGGAAUGACAUUUGUUUCGUUUCCACCGACGUAAAAAACAUCGGUGCGCCGUGUUCUCUGAUAGUGAUG
ensembl:lincRNA